rnacentral:rRNA from 1 species
CUUUACCUUGAGAAAAAUUAGAGUGUUCCAGGCAGGCUUGCGCCGGAAUACAUUAGCAUGGAAUAAUAGAAUAGGACUUUAGUCUCCUUUGUUGGUUUGAGGCUCGAAAGCGUCGGGGAGCAAACAGGAUUAGAUAACCCUGGUAGUCCACGCCGUAAACGAUGAUUACUAGGUGUGGGGCGGUCUGACCCGUUCCGUGCCGGAGUUAACACAAUAAGUAAUCCACCUGGGGAGUACGGCCGCAAGGUUGAAACUCAAAGGAAUUGACGGGGGCCCACAGUCGACGCGGCCG